rnacentral:lncRNA from 1 species
UUUAUUAAACAGUAUUCUGCAACAAAUUAUUUUAUCACUGAAUCAUUUUAUCAAACACGUGAACUGCAGUUUUCAACCAAACUCAAUUGCUUCAACUCCACACAUGACCGCUUCCAGCAGUCACAGAAACAACUCCAGACAUAAAGCACAAAUUCAACUCAAAUAAAAUUCGUUUUCGUAUUCACAAAUUCCACCGUCAAUUUCAACGAGUGCCUAUUCCAAUUCGAACUAGCACAAUUCUCCGAUAAAACUUGCGAACUGGAAAUUAAGAGAAGAGAUGAGGAUACAGUGGCUAGAUUAAACAGUACCUUAGGUCACGAACAACACCAAACAACUUUAACAAAUUUCUAGAAACAAAUUCAAAAUAGCAAUGCGCAUAGAUAAACUGCUCAAAUCACCUCCAACUAAAAUUCAAACCACAUACCACCUCCGUACCAGAAAUUGAACCAGAAUUCUUCAACAGUUUGAUUCUCGUGUAGUUUCGUUUUCAAGAACACACCAAAACAGAUAAAGAACGCAGAUGGAAAUGCAGAAACUCACUGUUUUUAUUUUCGUUUGAGAAGACGAAACUAACCAGUCGGUUCACCUAACUCGCCGGAAAACGCCACUUCCGUUCGCCGAUCAACACCGUAAAACUGCCGUUUGCAAAUCAACAACGCAUCGUUUCUAUUGGAUUUUGGCGGAAAACGCACAACCUCCGUUCGCGAUUCUGAACCACUUAAAGUCGUCGUCUCCGAUUAAGGUCGUCGUCUCCGAUUAUGGUCGUCGUCUCCGAUUAAGUUUGUCUUCUUCGAUUAAGUUUCUCCAAGAGAUGAACACAAGAAGAAACGAAUCCAAAUGCACGAAAAUUUUGUUGUGCGUACCUUCAAAAAUCCUUUGCGCACCACAUAUUUCAUUCAGACCAGAGUUCUUCCGAUUCCAACUUCAUGAAUGCUUAGAAGAUGAAGAACAACAACACAAAUCGCAGAGAAAAUUUGAGGAAAAUCUGAAAAUCUAAACCAAAUCUGCUAUUCGUACCUCUGGCUUCAUUGUCCGCACCAAAUAUCCAAUGAGAUCUCCAAACAGGUUCAGAUUAAGAUGCACACCACUGGAAACGCUUUUUGAACCACGAGAAACUUUCGGAAAAUUUUCGAGAAUUUUCGAAAAUGAAUUUUGAGAGAAAAACCUAAGUCAAAGAAAAUUGCUAAU